UACGGAGGAUGCAAGCGUUAUCCGGAAUUAUUGGGCAUAAAGGGUCCGCAGGUGGCAGUGUAAGUCUGCUGUCAAAGAAUGAGGCUUAACCUUAUCAAGGCAGUGGAAACUACACAGCUAGAGUACGGUCGGGGUAGAAGGAAUUCCUGGUGUAGCGGUGAAAUGCGUAGAGAUCAGGAAGAACACCGGUGGCGAAAGCGUUCUGCUAGACCUGUACUGACACUGAGGGACGAAAGCUAGGGGAGCGAAUGGG
rnacentral:rRNA from 1 species